rnacentral:rRNA from 1 species
UACGAAGGGGGGCUAGCGUUGCUCGGAAUCACUGGGCGUAAAGGGUGCGUAGGCGGGUCUUUAAGUCAGGGGUGAAAUCCUGGAGCUCAACUCCAGAACUGCCUUUGAUACUGAGGAUCUUGAGUUCGGGAGAGGUGAGUGGAACUGCGAGUGUAGAGGUGAAAUUCGUAGAUAUUCGCAAGAACACCAGUGGCGAAGGCGGCCAC